ensembl:lncRNA
UGGGCCUUGUGCCAAGGAAUUCAGACGGCGCCUUUCUGACAGCUGGCAGAGAAACAUGGACCUCAUUCCAUAUUUGGCCAACAACCGGAAUGAGUUUGGAGGCAGAUUCUUUCUUAAGGCCUCCAGAUAAAAGCCCAGCCCAGGGAACACUUUGAUUUCAGCCUUGUGAGACCCUAAACAGAGAACCGAGUUGAGCCAUGCCAGACUUCUGACCCACAGAAAUCUCAGCAAGACUGCUCUGGCCUGCCGAAGCCCCUGCUCCUGCAAUGUCCUCCAGCGCUUACCCCAGAAGGCAGGGCAAGUGUAGGGUCAGCUGGCUCGCCUCCCUCACUGAUCAUCCUUUGUGGCAGUUGUCCAAUGUCUGAGAAGCUGCUUCCCACAACUUUUUUCCUGGCUUCGUGGAACACGGAUAGUCAAUCUUUUGGGCUCACCGAGAAACUGGCCCGUGAACAAAGACCAGAGCAGGAGAAAGCGCACAUGGAUAUGAGGAGCACUCAGGAAGAGGGAAAACAAUCCCAAAAACCCGAGAUGGAGAGAGGCCAGCGUGGUUGGAGACGUGAACUCUGGGAGGUGACACUGCAGAGCAGUGGGGAAAGGAUGGCCUUUUCAAGAAAAGGACCUGGGUCAACAGGACAGCUAUAUGAAAACAAAAUUAACCCUUAUUUCACACCAUACUCCGAAAUCAAUUCUACAUGGAUAGUAGAUCUAAAUAUUCAAAGAAGAAAACAGUUAUGUUUUUAGAUGGUAACACAGAAGGUCCUUCCAGGCAAUGACUUCUUAGAACAGCAAAGGCACUAAGCAGAAAGGAAGAUGAUAAAUCAGACUUCAAUACAAAUUGAAAACUGACAUUAAAACUUAAGAAGAUAGUUAAAAUGCAAGCCACAGAUUAAGAAGAGAUGUUUUUUUGGAGCACUCAAAUGAAAAUGGACUCACAUCUAGAAUGUAAAAAUCAAGUAGAAAAACACAAACAAUCCAAUACAAAAAUGGAGUAGACCCAAAAGGGACUUCAGAGGAUGUUCAAACGACUAAUAAGCACAUGAGAAAAUGCUCUUUUUCAUUAGUCAUCAGAGAAGUGUAAAUUGAAACCACAGAAUCACCCAACGGUGGUGAGGGUGUGGAGCAAUGAAAACACUCAUUAUAGAGUGCUGGUGGGAGUGUAAAUUUGAAAAGUAUUUGGCACUAUCAAAUACAGCUAACCCUAAGCGGAACCUAUGUCCGAGCUAUUCCACUUUUAGGUAUAUAUCCCAAUAGAGAUAUGCGUCUUCAGGACAUAUAAUAUAUAGGUAAGUAAUAUAAUGUUCACAGCAGUAUUAUUUGAAAUACCCCCAAACCUGCAAAUAACAUUAACGUCCAAUAAAAGUAUAAGAGACCAGUCACAAAAGACACCAUACUAUAUGACUCCAUUUCUAGGAAGUGUUCAGAAUCGGCAAAUCUAUACAAACAAAAAGUAGAUUAGUGGUUGCUUAGGGCUGGAAAAGAUGGAGUGCAUGGUCAGGGCAGUGAUAGCUAGAGUAUGGAGUUGUUUUGAGGUGAUGAAAAUGUUCUAAAAUUGACUGUGGUGGUGGUUCCACCUACUUGUGAAUACACUGAAAAACCACUGAGUUGGACACUUUAAAUGGAUAAAUUGUAUCGUAUGUGAAUUAUAUCUCAAUAUAGCUGAAAUUUAAAAAAUAACAGUAUAAAGGAUGAAUUGUGGUAUAUUCAUAUAUAUAAUUAAAUGCCAUACAACAUAAAAUAAAAAAAGAGACCUGUUAAUGCACCCUGGAUGAAUCUCACAUGUAAUAUAGAGUGAAAGAAAUGAAACAGUACAGAAUAUUUACUGAAUAAUUCAUUUCACGUGAAAUUCAAGAACAGACAAAACUCAUCUAUAUAGGUAUCCGAGGAUAAGGCGGCAGUUAUGUUUGGGGAGAAGCUGCCCCUGACUGGGCAGGGGGAGGAAGGGCGCUAGAAACAGUCUAUUUCUUGAGCUGGGUGGUGGCUGCAAGGCUAUGACUGUGUUAGUCUUUCAAAAUUUACCGAACUGUACAUUUGUAGUUUGCCUAUUUUCUGUAUUUUGUACUUCAACAAAAGUUUACUAGGAAAUAUUUUUAAAAAUCUAGUUGUUCAGUAAAUUGUCCUUUAGUACACAGUGAAAAAACGGACUAAAAGAAUAUAUACACAUUUGGGUUAUUUUUUGUGGGUUGGGAUUACAGAGAAUUAUCUUCUUCUAUAAACUUUUCAGUAUUUUCCAAAUUACCAGAGUGAACAUUUAUUACAUUUAUCACUAGGAAAAAAAUGCUAUAAAAUACAAUUGUCUGAGAUACCCCUGUAUUACUUUUAUACUAAUUUAUUCACAAAAUAAAGACUUUAGUUUUUGCUCCCAGACCGGAAGGGAGUGAAGGAGGGUGUGGCUGCUGGUCUGGAGGUUUCCUGAUGGCGCUGCUGAUGGCCAGGAACUCUCCACCGGCCACCCAGCAGGGAAGAGGAGCGAAGUGCAGGUGGAGGGACCCAAAAGACUGUGAACUAUGGCUGGGCAUGUGGAGCCCAAGACACCUGGUGGGUCACAGUCCUCAUGCAACCUGAGUUCUUACUGCGAAACUGUGGUCGGACCUGGGAAGGCGUGGAGGCCCGACCGAAGCUCUGGCCGCCGCCGUGCUCGGUAAAGUGAACGAUCAGUGUAAUCCGCAUGUUUUUGUAAGGACAGCAGCUAAGAGCAGUAUUUACAUUUUUACGCGGUUGUUAAAAAAAAAAAAAAAAAAAAAAGACAAAUAUGCGACAGAGUCCGUUCCCGGCCUGCAAAUCCUAAACUAUUUACUAUCUGGCUCUUUAUAGAAAAAGUCUGCCAACUUCUUGAUUAAGAGACUCUAGGCUGAAAAACACGAAGGUAUUUCAAAAUGCUAUCUGGGCGCACGCUUGCUGGCGAGGAGCCGGGGGAGGAACGCGCCUGCCCGGGCACUUUCGGUCCGUGCUGUCACGAGAUGUACUGUCCCAGCUCGUCAGACACAGGACGUGGGAAUCCACUAAAGAGAGAGUGAAAACUCACCUUGGAGAGUCCAGCCUGGAACGGAAGGCCGGGCACCGCGGGCCACACACAAUUGACUCUUACUGGGAGGGGCUCCGAAAGGAUGAGCCACGCUCCCUGCAGCCCUCGGCGGAUCGCCUAGGAGGAGGGCUCCGGGCUUCAACCGGGGAAGCAUCGUUGUCUUUCCCGAAGAAGCCGAUGCCCCACAGGAGUUUUCUUCUCUACUGGGUGGGCAGCUCCGCGUGACCGCACCGCGCGGCCACCCGGCGGUCUGUAACUUUUGCCAUAGCGCCGCGUGGGUGCGGCAGGCCGCCGGCCCAUGCGCAGUGGCCUCUCGCAGGAUCCUCCCACCGCGCAGGCUCGCCUGUCAGCUCUUCGCCCCGGGAGGGGUGCUACCUUCGGGUCCCCGGGGAGGAGGGGGAGUCCGCGCGGAGGGCCAUGUAUGUGCAGUGUUUUCUGCUAAACAAUUUGAGAGUUAGUUGUGAACAUUAUAACCCUCCCGCCUGAAAUGUUACCAAUAUUUGACCUGCGAAAAACCAGUUUCAUUGAAUUGAGCCUCACAUCUCAGUCGAUAUCCGCUAAGGAAAAGGGAAGCCUCCCACAUCUGGGUUUCUCGAUCGCGGCACUGUGGACGUUUUGGGCAGGAUGAGUCUUUGUUGUGGGGUGAUGGGAGCUGUCUCGUUUAUCGUACAAUGUUUAGCAGCGCCCCUGGCCUCCACUCACUAGAUGCCAGUGCCACCCCUCCCUUCCUCCAGUUGUGACAACCAACAAUGUUUCCAGACGCUGCCAAAUGUGUGUGGGGGAGGGCGGGCCACAAUCCCGCCUGUUGAGGAGGACUCAGACUGCAGUGUCCGUAGGAAAUGUGUCAUCAGGGUCUUCAGACGUACGCAGGAAGUCGGAAUCCACCAUUGUUAUCUCACUAUAAUUUUAUUAGUCCCUAUUCGAAUUUCCUCACUUGUCCCCCAAGAAUCUUUCCUUCUCUGUUGUUGUUUGUAAAAGAUAAACCCAGGAUUUAACAAUACUGCAUUUAGCUAUCCAGUCUCUUUAAUUUCCUUCAAUUUAGAACACUUGUUCUGCCUUUUUUGUUUGUUGUUUUUUACUGGCACGGACUUUUUUAGAAAGUUCAGGCCAGUGGUUUUCCAGAAUAUCCUUCAAUUUGGAUACUCAGAUUGGUUCCUCAUUAGAGGAUUCACAUUGAGUAUUUUUCGGGGGUUUUUUGGCUGGAAUUCCACCUAAGUGAUGUUAUAUCCAAUUUUAUCUGUUUUCAAAGGACUAUUUAGCUGUUCUGAGAAUGUUUGAUGUGAAAGAGUCUAUUUUUCCCCCCCAGUGAUUUGAGAUACUACUUUUAUCACAUAC